UACGUAGGGGCCAAGCGUUGUCCGGAUUUAUUGGGCGUAAAGAGCUCGUAGGUGGUUCGGCAAGUCAGUUGUGAAAUCUCCGCGCUCAACGCGGAGGGGUCAGCUGAAACUGCUGUGACUUGAGUCUGGUAGGGGAGUGUGGAAUUCCUGGUGUAGCGGUGAAAUGCGCAGAUAUCAGGAGGAACACCGAUGGCGAAGGCAGGUCUCUGGGCAUUAACUGACGCUGAGGAGCGAAAGCAUGGGGAGCGAACAGG
rnacentral:rRNA from 1 species